rnacentral:rRNA from 1 species
GACGAACGCUGGCGGCGUGCCUAAUACAUGCAAGUUGAGCGAUGAAGAUUGGUGCUUGCACCAAUUUGAAGAGCAGCGAACGGGUGAGUAACGCGUGGGGAAUCUGCCUUUGAGCGGGGGACAACAUUUGGAAACGAAUGCUAAUACCGCAUAACAACUUUAAACAUAAGUUUUAAGUUUGAAAGAUGCAAUUGCAUCACUCAAAGAUGAUCCCGCGUUGUAUUAGCUAGUUGGUGAGGUAAAGGCUCACCAAGGCGAUGAUAAAUAGCCGACCUGAGAGGGUGAUCGGCCACCUUGGGACUGGGAAACGGCCCAAACUCCCACGGGAGGCAGCAGUAGGGAAUCUUCGGCAAGGGACGAAAGGCUGACCGAGCAACGCCGCGGGAGGGAAGAAGGUUUUCGGAUCGUAAAACUCUGUUGGUAGAGAAGAACGUUGGUGAGAGUGGAAAGCUCAUCAAGUGACGGUAACUACCCAGAAAGGGACGGCUAACUACGUG